rnacentral:rRNA from 1 species
CCCGGUAUCCCUGAGUUCUUAACAUGGGAACCCCGCAAACUUCUAUAGUGUUUUUUCCCUGCUCAGGAUGAACGCUGGCGGCGUGCCUAAUACAUGCAAGUCGAGCGAACAGAUGAGAAGCUUGCUUCUCUGAUGUUAGCGGCGGACGGGUGAGUAACACGUGGGUAACCUACCUAUAAGACUGGGAUAACUCCGGGAAACCGGGGCUAAUACCGGAUAAUAUAUUGAACCGCAUGGUUCAAUGUUGAAAGACGGUUUCGGCUGUCACUUAUAGAUGGACCCGCGCCGUAUUAGCUAGUUGGUAAGGUAACGGCUUACCAAGGCAACGAUACGUAGCCGACCUGAGAGGGUGAUCGGCCACACUGGAACUGAGACACGGUCCAGACUCCUACGGGAGGCAGCAGUAGGGAAUCUUCCGCAAUGGGCGAAAGCCUGACGGAGCAACGCCGCGUGAGUGAUGAAGGUCUUAGGAUCGUAAAACUCUGUUGUUAGGGAAGAACAAAUUUGUUAGUAACUGAACAAGUCUUGACGGUACCUAACCAGAAAGCCACGGCUAACUACGUGCCAGCAGCCGCGGUAAUACGUAGGUGGCAAGCGUUAUCCGGAAUUAUUGGGCGUAAAGCGCGCGUAGGCGGUUUCUUAAGUCUGAUGUGAAAGCCCACGGCUCAACCGUGGAGGGUCAUUGGAAACUGGGGAACUUGAGUGCAGAAGAGGAGAGUGGAAUUCCAUGUGUAGCGGUGAAAUGCGCAGAGAUAUGGAGGAACACCAGUGGCGAAGGCGGCUCUCUGGUCUGUAACUGACGCUGAUGUGCGAAAGCGUGGGGAUCAAACAGGAUUAGAUACCCUGGUAGUCCACGCCGUAAACGAUGAGUGCUAAGUGUUAGGGGGUUUCCGCCCCUUAGUGCUGCAGCUAACGCAUAAGCACUCCGCUGGAGAGCCGACCUUGU